ACCCAAAUGAAAGUUCUGGGCCGCCUAAACGUACGGUCCUCUUCUCUGUACGGAAACUGUUUGGCCGGAAAACUGUAACGGUCCCUCUUCUCCUCCGCGAAUUUGAAGCUGAAGCUGAAGGUUGUGUCUGUCGGAAAGUGUACGAUUAUGUUCGCUGCGAUCCCAAGGAAAUUGCUUUCUCUUCCUUCUCUCGCCGAUCCUUCUCGCAUCAAGAAGCGUCGGAACUUGACUUGGAACGACCGAUUUCUCGUGAGAUUCCCGAACUUCUUCGUCAUGAUUGCUCCUCGUUUGCUCUUGUUUCGCCUUCUGGGUCACAAAGGAAACUUAUAGGCUUUGUGCUGCAAACUGGGUCUGAGAUAUAGGUCCUUAUCUUCUACCAAAUGAUUAUAAGAAGCAUGAGGAACUUGAAGCUAUAAAAGAAGUUAAAGAGAAUGAGCCCUCUGUCUUGGAAGAUCUCAGUAAGACCUGAAGCUGCAAAGGUGCCAUGGCAUGAGCUUCUGCAUAUAGGGAUACCCUUAAAAGCUUUAUACAAGGUCCCAAGAGGAUGUCGAACAAGUUAUGCAGAUUGCAGAAGAAGGAAGACUUAAAAAAUCGCAGCAGGCGAGGCUGAUAACUCAAAGAAAGCUACUUGGCCUUUGGUUAGGUCGUGGAUACUUGGUUGUAUGAAUUAUUCAAGAAAUCAGUCGAUGAUGCAACCUUUUACAUUGAGGUGGCCUAUUUGUCAAGCAUCUCCUGUUAAGGCCUUAAACAAACCUAUCUUGGAUUCUUGGCCAAGAAUCAAGAUUGAUUGAGAACACCACCCAUUAUUCAUCAACACGUUGCUUCAUGUGAAUUUUAUUGAACAGAACACCGAUCUUAUCUGACGCAGGAUUUUAAUCCACAGCUUCUUCGGAUUAUGUCUUUUCAGCAAUUCUGCAGGGCAGAAGCCUGCUCAUAACAGGUUGUUCUCCUAGUUUUGUCGAGGGCACCGCCCAUUGGUGGAAGUUGCGGAAUGGUUUGUAAGAUUUCUACCACUAGUAGCAUAUGUAUACAGUAUACCCUUAUUUGUUGUUUCCAUAAACGUGUUUACAUUUCCAUGCUAAUAUUUCAUCUGGCUCCAAAACUUUCCUACCCCUGAGACCUAAAGCUAAGCUAAGGUAAUUGUUAAUGGGUUUGAGUUCCAUGCCAAUUCAACCAUCUUUUCCUAUGACAGAUGCCUUCGAAACUGGAAAAGAGAAAGAUGUCUUGCCCCCUAGAAACUGCAAAAAGGCGAAAACAUCAGAUAGAUUCUCAGGGAACAGAAGUUUUUCGAGUGGUUGAAGAAAGCCUCUCAUGGAGUAAUAUAGAUACAUUCAGUAUUGUACUUUAGUCUUGUAUGAUUGAAAAACUCCACGGCAGGACGAAACCCCGAAAUGCAAGGAGGCUUUUGGGCAUCUUAACUAGCCAAAAGCUUCUUGGAACUAGUGAUAAUGGCUCCUUUCUUGGGGCCCUUCUCCCACUUGCAGAGGCCACUGAGACACUGGAUUUGGGCAGAAAAGCAGUAAUUCUCUUCUCUUGCCUGAAUGAAUCUUCAUGGGGCCCUGAGGAUCACCUGCUGCAAGUAUGAUCACCAAACAAAAGGUAACUUGCGCAUGUUUUGCAUAUCUGUGUUUAUAUUUCUGCUGUCAUGUCAACAAAAUGCUUCUGCCUUAGAUUAGCACUCACUCACUGCACUCAAAGUCAGAGCAUGUGCAGCAUAACCCGAAAACCCUUUUAGGUGGUGAACUGGUGGAUAGGCAUCUUUAGUGUUGUAUUUGUUUGUUUCCAUCUAUUUGAUGCGAGGUUUUUGUCUAAUCAAGAUUGUGUUUUACUGCUUAGGAACCAUAUGCUAUUAGGUCCAACAAAUUUCUUGUGUCAAGAAUCCACUUGAAAAGGAAGGGUUCUUGUGUCAAGAAUCCACUAUUAGGCAAAUUGCUCUUUGCUUUUCUCUAAUCCUCUUGGAGUCGGUUCUCGAGCCAGUUUGGCUAUAGGCCAUGCCAUUUCCUUAAGAACCCGACUACAGAUUCCUUGCAAGAUCUAACUAAUAUCAUUAGAACAUUCUGCUUUCCACCACAUAGACUGUCUCUGCUUUCUGAUUGCAAUCUCGGGUCCUCUGACCUGGGAAGAUUCCAGAUUACUGUUCUGCCUAGAGGCUCUUUGGUGACUUUCUAGAGUCUCUUUUAGAUAAAUCAUGAGUUGUGAUACAACACAUUCUGAAGUGAUUUGAUGAGAUACAUACAGAUGAUGAUGAAAAACAAAGUGUUCUAGGAUUCAGGCCUGAUGAGUGAGGGUCCAUUUUGUGUGAUAGAUCACUCGGUUUUUUUUUUUUUAUAAAAAUAAUCAUCAUUGAGGGUGUUCCAACUCUCCUUUUUGGAUUUGCACAUGGUGGGGAUACUCUCAUCUUUUGAACCCUUCUAAUGAUUGAUUUCUUCUCUGGAUAAUACACUCUUUUCAUCUGUGGGUGAAGGCCUUGAAGAGCAUUUGAAGGGAAUCCGCAUCCCAAAUGAUUUUGGAAACAGAUGCUUCACUGUUCAUCUGACCUUUGUACAUGGCAAAAGGCUCAUCUCAGUGUGCCUAAAGUCUCUUCCUUUUUGUCAAAGUUGUAGGCGCCCAUUGGUAAAGGAUACAUGACUUGAUUGGUCUUUACGAACACACUUUAACCAUUUUCUCUAUCUAUUUUUGUUUUAUGGCCAGCAGGUGAAGGUUGAUUUCCGGUGAAACCGAGUUCAUCUCCUCAAUCCGAUCCCGAGGAUGCUCGGUUUUGGGCAGAAGCAGAGCAAAGUGUGACAUGGGUUUUGCAAUAGAACUGAGAGGAUUCAUGUCUGGCCUCUGUGUUAGAAAUGAUUCUGGAAAUAGAGCCCCACUUGCCAUUAGGACAACUAGUUUUUUCAAUAGAACAAUGCAGAGAAGAGCUUACAAGAUCC